rfam:Nasonia vitripennis chromosome 1 unlocalized genomic scaffold Chr1_random119, whole genome shotgun sequence.
CAAUCGGCCCUUUUCAAGGCCACCAAAAAUUAAAACGUAUGAUAAAU